rnacentral:misc_RNA from 1 species
GAAAUGCGAUAAGUAAUGUGAAUUGCAGAAUUCAGUGAAUCAUCGAAUCUUUGAACGCACAUUGCGCCCGCCAGUAUUCUGGCGGGCAUGCCUGUCCGAGCGUCAUUUCAACCAUCAAGCCCCCGGGCUUGUGUUGGGGACCUGCGGCUGCCCGCAGGCCCUGAAAACCAGUGGCGGGCUCGCUGUCACACCGAGCGUAGUAGCAAUCACCUCGCUCAGGGCGUGCUGCGGGUUCCGGACGUUAAACAGCCUUACAAAACCCAAGGUUGACCUCGGAUCAGGUAGGAAGACCCGCUGAACUUAAGC